rnacentral:rRNA from 1 species
GUAAGGAAUAUUGGACAAUGGCGGCAACGCUGAUCCAGCUAUCCCGCGUGCAGGAUGAAGGGGCUACGCCUUGUAAACUGCUUUGGACUGAGACGAAAAAAUGGGAUUCUUCCCAUAUUGACGGUAUCAGUAGAACAAGCACCGGCUAACUCCGUGCCAGCAGCCGCGGUAAUACGGAGGGUGCAAGCGUUAUCCGGAAUCACUGGGUGUAAAGGGUGCGUAGGCGGCCUGUUAAGUCAGGAGUGAAAGGCCACAGCUUAACUGUGGGAUUGCUUUUGAUACUGGCGGGCUUGGAUUAGGACGAGGUUGGCGGAAUGUGGCAAGUAGCGGUGAAAUGCAUAGAUAUGCCAUAGAAUACCGAUUGCGAAGGCAGCUGACUAGACCUAUAUUGACGCUGAGGCACGAAAGCGUGGGGAGCGAACAGGAUUAGAAACCCCAGUAGUCC